rnacentral:sRNA from 1 species
AUUUAGCCCCGAUAGUAGUGAAAAUCCCACGUUUUUUUUGCGUGGAUUGUAACGGAUAGCGGGAAUAUUG